rnacentral:rRNA from 1 species
AAUAGAUACCCCGGUAGUCCACGCCGUAAACGAUGAGUGCUAAGUGUUGGGGGGUUUCCGCCCCUCAGUGCUGCAGCUAACGCAUUAAGCACUCCGCCUGGGGAGUACGGUCGCAAGACUGAAACUCAAAGGAAUUGACGGGGGCCCGCACAAGCGGUGGAGCAUGUGGUUUAAUUCGAAGCAACGCGAAGAACCUUACCAGGUCCUGACAUCCCGGUGACCACUAUGGAGACAUAGUUUCCCCUUCGGGGGCAACGGUGACAGGUGGUGCAUGGUUGUCGUCAGCUCGUGUCGUGAGAUGUUGGGUUAAGUCCCGCAACGAGCGCAACCCUUAUUCUUAGUUGCCAUCAUUCAGUUGGGCACUCUAAGGAGACUGCCGGUGAUAAACCGGAGGAAGGUGGGGAUGACGUCAAGUCAUCAUGCCCCUUAUGACCUGGGCUACACACGUGCUACAAUGGACGGUACAAACGGUUGCCAACCCGCGAGGGGGAGCUAAUCCGAUAAAACCGUUCUCAGUUCGGAUUGUAGGCUGCAACUCGCCUACA